rnacentral:rRNA from 1 species
GAUGAACGCUGGCGGCGUGCCUAAUACAUGCAAGUCGAGCGAACGGACGAGAAUCUUGCUUCUCUGAUGUUAGCGGCGGACGGGUGAGUAACACGUGGAUAACCUACCUAUAAGACUGGGAUAACUUCGGGAAACCGGAGCUAAUCCCGGAUAAUAUUUUGAACCGCAUGGUUCAAAAGUGAAAGACGGUCUUGCUGUCACUUAUAGAUGUAUCCGCGCUGCAUUAGCUAGUUGGUAAGGUAACGGCUUACCAAGGCAACGAUGCAUAGCCGACCAGAGAGAUGGAUCGGCCACACUGGGACUGGGACACGGUCCAGACUCCUACGGGAGGCAGCAGUAGGGAAUCUUCCGCAAUGGGCGAAAGCCUGACGGAGCAACGCCGCGUGAGUGAUGAGGGUCUUCGGAUCGUAAAACUCUGUUAUUAGGGAAGAACAUAUGUGUAAGCAACUGUGCACAUCUUGACGGUACCUAAUCAGAAAGCAACGGCUAACUACGUG